rnacentral:rRNA from 1 species
CUACGGGGUGCUGCAGUGGGGAAUAUUGGACAAUGGGGGAAACCCUGAUCCAGCAAUGCCGCGUGUGUGAAGAAGGCCUGCGGGUUGUAAAGCACUUUCGGUUGGGAGGACUGCUUCUAGCACUAAUAUUGUUGGAAGUUGACGUUACCUUCAGAAGAAGCACCGGCUAACUCCGUGCCAGCAGCCGCGGUAAUACGGAGGGUGCAAGCGUUAAUCGGAAUUACUGGGCGUAAAGCGCGCGUAGGCGGCUAGAUCAGUCGGGUGUGAAAGCCCCGGGCUUAACCUGGGAACUGCAUCCGAUACUGUCUAGCUUGAGUACAGGAGAGGAGAGUGGAAUUCCACAUGUAGCGGUGAAAUGCGUAGAUAUGUGGAGGAACACCAAUGGCGAAGGCAGUUCUCUGGCCUGAUACUGACGCUGAGGUGCGAAAGCAUGGGGAGCAAACAGGAUUAGAUACCCUUGUAGUC